CUUUCCCAUGCCAGACGCUACCCUGAUGCUCGAAGAAGCGGACGUACUGAGACAUACUCUAGUAUUUACCAGAGACUAAGGAGGGAUGCUAGGUAGGUAGGGGCCACAAAACAGGUUGCUACUUAACAUUCUGCAAUUGGGCAAAUGGCAAACUCCUGCUCUCACAGCAACCACGUUGCAAUCUCUGAGAAACAGUAUCCACAAAGAAUUGUGGCAGUUGGCGGGUGGAGGUUGCUAACCUGCCAAAGCAUGCUCAUUGGCUGAUGGAGUGAUACGUCAUGGACUCAACGUCACAUGCAAGGCAGCCAAUCACAGCGUGGCUUUGCGUUAUUGCUGAUAACACUCAUAUGCUCAUACGGCAUUGUUUACAAACCCUGAUAUAGCAUCACACACCCACGGCUACCACCCACCACAAUCAACUGUCAUUAUGUUCAUUAUGGCUAGUGAACCCCCGAAGAAAACAAGGAAACAAUGAUUCACCAACACCAAAAUCUUAACCUUGGUGGAGGAGGUGGAGAAGCAGGGUGCGAGGGACAGCAAAACACCACAAAAGAAGAAAGCUUGGGAGGAUGUGGCUGUGUCUGGCCCUCUGCUGAACAACAGCAGAUCCUCACUCCCUGUGUUGCUGGGUCUGCUGGGUGUUGCUAUGGGAGAGUCACCCUCAUUACUGACAGUGGAUGAGGACCUGACUUUCCAAAUCAUCCAUCAUACAGAUGAUGUCCCCCAAUGAUGAAUAAUUAUGCCAUUUGUUUCAUGUUGACAUGCAUUAAAUUUUGUUCUCCAGCAUAUACCUGUGAACACUGUACAUACAUUUAUCAUGUGUUGUAUCUUUCAACAGUAUGUUUUUAUUACAAACCACUAAUAUGCUAUUUAAGUAUGUUAAUAAAAGUCAUGUUUUUAUCUUAAAUUUAUUGCAGGCAGAACUUGAGCAGGUGCAACAACUUAUAGUGAAUCUGAAAGAGAUGGGAGACUUCCUGCAUAGACUAAUGAAGGCACAACAAGAACUGGUGGCAGGCACAAUGGGAAGUGCUAGCAGGCACAAUGGGAGCUGGUGGCUGGCACAGGAAGAGUUGGUGAUAGGCACAAUGGGAGCUGGUGGCAGGUACAAUGAGAGCUGGUGGUAGGCACAACAAGAGCUGGUGGCAGGCAAAGCGAGAGUUGAUGGCAGGCAAAUUGGGAGAUGGUGACAAGCACAAUGGGAGAUAGUGGCAGGCACAACAGGAGGUGGUGGCAGGCACAACAGUGGGUGUUGGAGUCUCAGCAGCAAUCUGCCCAAAUACAAAGAGAAUUUUUAGAUUUAUUCAGGCAGUUUAUGGCUCAUGCCACUGAGUGCUUUAAGGCCAACUCAAAACAUUAACAUAUCACUGAAAAUUUUUAAAAAUAUAUCAUUCUAUUUAUUUUUUAUACUUACCUUGUUUAUAUUAAUACAUUAUCAUGCCAAAGCAUUUCACCUUUCCUUUCUGCUGUGAUUCAUGUUAGUGUUACUUAACUGAUAUCCACAAUGUCUUAGUAUUACUUAAAAGUACAAAGUAGCUGCCAUCUGUGUAGGUAAGCUUGAAGUUUUUUGUGGUGACAUGGGAAUUUUUGUACAUAUGUUUAUUUACCUAAUUGAGCUUUAAAGUCUCUCUGAGUUAUACUCACUUAUGUGGAUGUGUUUCUUUUUUUUUUCAUGAGUUGUGCUACCAAAGGCUUUGGUACUAGCUAAUUAUUUUAUUUGAUAAAAGAAUAUCUACUA